rnacentral:rRNA from 1 species
AUUGAACGCUGGCGGCAGGCUUAACACAUGCAAGUCGAGCGGAGAUGAGGUGCUUGCACCUUAUCUUAGCGGCGGACGGGUGAGUAAUGCUUAGGAAUCUGCCUAUUAGUGGGGGACAACAUUCCGAAAGGAAUGCUAAUACCGCAUACGUCCUACGGGAGAAAGCAGGGGAUCUUCGGACCUUGCGCUAAUAGAUGAGCCUAAGUCGGAUUAGCUAGUUGGUGGGGUAAAGGCCUACCAAGGCGACGAUCUGUAGCGGGUGUGGGAGGAUGAUCCGCCACACUGGGACUGAGACACGGCCCAGACUCCUACGGGAGGCAGCAGUGGGGAAUAUUGGACAAUGGGGGAAACCCUGAUCCAGCCAUGCCGCGUGUGUGAAGAAGGCCUUAUGGUUGUAAAGCACUUUAAGCGAGGAGGAGGCUACUGAGACUAAUACUCUUGGAUAGUGGACGUUACUCGCAGAAUAAGCACCGGCUAACUCUGUGCCAGCCGCCGCCGUAA